rnacentral:misc_RNA from 1 species
GAUGAAGAACGCAGCGAAAUGCGAUAAGUAAUGUGAAUUGCAGAAUUCAGUGAAUCAUCGAAUCUUUGAACGCACAUUGCGCCCGCCAGCAUUCUGGCGGGCAUGCCUGUCCGAGCGUCAUUUCAACCCUCAGGGUCCCUCCGCCUCGCGCGGUCGGAGCCUGGUGUUGGGGAUCGGCCCGCCCCGCGCGGCGCCGUCCCCCAAAUACAGUGGCGGUCCCGCCGCAGCCUCCCCUGCGCAGUAGUUAUCAACUCGCACUGGAGCGCGGCGCGGCCACGCCGUAAAACCCCCGACUUGUAGAAAGGUGACCUCGGAUCAGGUAGGAAUACCCGCUGAACUUAAGCAUAUCAAUAAGCGGAGA